UGGGGAAUUUUGGACAAUGGGCGCAAGCCUGAUCCAGCAAUGCCGCGUGCAGGAUGAAGGCCUUCGGGUUGUAAACUGCUUUGGUACGGAGCGAAAAGGUCUGCCCUAAUACGGUGGGCUCAUGACGGUACCGUAAGAAUAAGCACCGGCUAACUACGUGCCAGCAGCCGCGGUAAUACGUAGGGUGCGAGCGUUAAUCGGAAUUACUGGGCGUAAAGCGUGCGCAGGCGGUUAUAUAAGACAGAUGUGAAAUCCCCGGGCUCAACCUGGGACCUGCAUUGGAGACUGGAUAGCUAGAGUGCAGUAGAGGAAAGUGGAAUUCCGAGUGUAGCGGUGAAAUGCGUAGAUAUGCGGAGGAACACCAGUGGCGAAGGCGAUCCCCUGGACCUGUACUGACGCUGAUACGCGAAAGCGUGGGGAGCAAACA
rnacentral:rRNA from 1 species